GUGAAGGACGCCUAUUACGUUCUGGCCGUACGUCUGGUUCAGAUUUCAAAGCACAAUACUUUAGCCGCCGAUUUUAAUGGUUGACACAAGAAAAUCGUCGAUGGAAGCAAAGCGGAGGAAGGUCAACG